rnacentral:rRNA from 1 species
UAGCUAGUUGGUGAGGUAAAGGCUUACCAAGGCGACGAUCUGUAGCGGGUCUGAGAGGAUGAUCCGCCACACUGGAACUGAGACACGGUCCAGACUCCUACGGGAGGCAGCAGUGGGGAAUUUUGGACAAUGGGGGCAACCCUGAUCCAGCCAUGCCGCGUGAGUGAAGAAGGCCUUCGGGUUGUAAAGCUCUUUCGGCCGGGAAGAAAUCGCAUGGGCCAAUACCCUGUGUGGAUGACGGUACCGGAAUAAGAAGCACCGGCUAACUACGUGCCAGCAGCCGCGGUAAUACGUAGGGUGCGAGCGUUAAUCGGAAUUACUGGGCGUAAAGCGUGCGCAGGCAGUUUUGUAAGACAGGCGUGAAAUCCCCGGGCUUAACCUGGGAACUGCGUUUGUGACUGCAAGGCUAGAGUACGGCAGAGGGGGGUGGAAUUCCACGUGUAGCAGUGAAAUGCGUAGAGAUGUGGAGGAACACCAAUGGCGAAGGCAGCCCCCUGGGUCGAUACUGACGCUCAUGCACGAAAGCGUGGGUAGCAAACAGGAUUAGAUACCCUGGUAGUCCACGCCCUAAACUAUGUCAACUAGGUGUUGGGUGGGUAAAACCAUUUAGUACCGUAGCUAACGCGUGAAGUUGACCGCCUGGGGAGUACGGCCGCAAGGUUAAAACUCAAAGGAAUUGACGGGGACCCGCACAAGCGGUGGAUGAUGUGGAUUAAUUCGAUGCAACGCGAAAAACCUUACCUACCCUUGACAUGCCAGGAACUUGCCAGAGAUGGCUUGGUGCCCGAAAGGGAGCCUGGACACAGGUGCUGCAUGGCUGUCGUCAGCUCGUGUCGUGAGAUGUUGGUUAAGUCCCGCAACGAGCGCAACCCUUGUCGUUAAUUGCCAUCAUUUAGUUGGGCACUUUAACGAGACUGCCGGUGACAAACCGGAGGAAGGUGGGGAUGACGUCAAGUCCUCAUGGCCCUUAUGGGUAGGGCUUCACACGUCAUACAAUGGUCGGUACAAAGGGUUGCCAAGCCGCGAGGCGGAGCCAAUCCCAGAAAGCCGAUCGUAGUCCGGAUUGCAGGCUGCAACUCGCCUGCAUGAAGUCGGAAUCGCUAGUAAUCGUGGAUCAGCAUGUCACGGUGAAUACGUUCCCGGGUCUUGUACACACCGCCCGUCACACCAUGGGAGCGGGUUCCGCCAGAAGUAGGUAGCCUAACCGCAAGGGGGGCGCUUACCACGGCGGGGUUCGUGACUGGGGUGAAGUCGUAACAAGGUAGCCGUAGGGGAACCUGCGGCUG